UCUUCCGCUUCAAUUCUAAAUCUCCCGGCGAAGAAAAUAACCGGCGAAAUUCACGGAGAAACCUCGCCGACGAAGCCAAGUUAUGGCAGUCCUGGCUGCGGUGGCAGGAUCACGACCGUGGAAUGCUUUUAUUCAAGCUUUAUUUCUGAUAUCUCUAUCAUUUCCCAUUCCCUCCAGCGCUUACCGACCUGGAGAUAUCGUCCGGAUGAGCAAGAUGGGGCAAUAUCACUCUUCGAGAAUCACUUGGCAUGAUGUGAUCGGAAAACAUUGCCCGAUCUUCGCCGUUAAUCGCGAGGUUUUGAUCCCCAUAGCGAAACCAAUUGGCUACACAUGAACUGAUCCUUAUAAGAUAGAUAUUUUUGAGGAGAUCUGCUUGUAGUCACAGCUCAAGUAUGAAGGACCCUCACUUCAGCUUGCCAUUUUGUCGUGUAAGGUUUAUCAUCUCUAAGAAAUGCAAAGGAAGCCGUCACUGCUAGAGUUGAUGAAUGGAGGAGAAUAUGAAGAAAUGAGGUAAUUGCUUGAUGAUGUAGAAAAUUGAAAGAAUAGAAAUAUUUAUAGAGAACUUAGAUGUCUAGGGUUAAGGUCAAAUCGAUUUGAGAAAUAUCGUGUGGAGAGAAGUAGAAUAUCUAAGAUACGGGAAACUAAAAAUGGAUUCUUAGAUUAAUCACAAUGAAUGUGACAAAAUUUUAAGGGAGGAUUAGGAUUUGGUGAAGUAACAAUAUAGAUCCUAUUGAAUAUGAUGGAAGAUUGUAGAUAAUUUGUUUAGGAAAUCUUGAUUUGAUCAAAUAUGUAGAGAGAAUAUGCUUUAAUUAGAUACCAAAAUAAAUGAUUCGAUAGGAUUUGCAUUUACUGUGUAAUAUACUUAGCCAAGAUUUCGGGUAAAAAUCUCAAAUAAGGUAAGAUCCGAGAUUGAUUUUUCCGGGUCGAAAUAAAUGAUUUCCGGGUCAAAAUUUUGACCCGAUUAGGAACCCCAAAAACUGUUGCAAAAAUGUAUAGUAGAUGACCUAUGGCUUUGUAUUAUCUAGGCCCGGGCACGAAUCGAAUAUCCGGGAUUUUUGUGAUAUUUGAUAUUCGAUUCGUUUCAACCAAAUACUUGAUUUUGUGAUUUGCUUCGAUUCAGAAAUUUCCGGAUAUCCGAAAAUUCGAAUAUCCGGAUUUUUUUGUGAUA